UGCACCAUUGGAUGAGCCCGCACUUGAUUAGUUUGUUGGUAGGGUAAUGGCCUACCAAGACUAUGAUCAAUAGCUGAUUUGAGAGGAUGAUCAGCCACAUUGGGACUGAGACACGGCCCAAACUUCUACGGGGGCAGCAGUGGGGAAUCUUGC
rnacentral:rRNA from 1 species